rnacentral:rRNA from 1 species
ACAAGCAGUGGGAGCACCUUCGGGUGUGACUGCGUACCUUUUGUAUAAUGGGUCAGCGACUUAUAUUCUGUAGCAAGGUUAACCGUAUAGGGGAGCCGCAGGGAAACCGAGUCUUAACUGGGCGUUAAGUUGCAGGGUAUAGACCCGAAACCCGGUGAUCUAGCCAUGGGCAGGUUGAAGGUUGGGUAACACUAACUGGAGGACCGAACCGACUAAUGUUGAAAAAUUAGCGGAUGACUUGUGGCUGGGGGUGAAAGGCCAAUCAAACCGGGAGAUAGCUGGUUCUCCCCGAAAGCUAUUUAGGUAGCGCCUCGUGAACUCAUCUUCGGGGGUAGAGCACUGUUUCGGCUAGGGGGUCAUCCCGACUUACCAACCCGAUGCAAACUACGAAUACCGAAGAAUGUUAUCACGGGAGACACACGGCGGGUGCUAACGUCCGUCGUGAAGAGGGAAACAACCCAGACCGCCAGCUAAGGUCCCAAAGUCAUGGUUAAGUGGGAAACGAUGUGGGAAGGCACAGACAGCCAGGAUGUUGGCUUAGAAGCAGCCAUCAUUUAAAGAAAGCGUAAUAGCUCACUGGUCGAGUCGGCCUGCGCGGAAGAUGUAACGGGGCUAAACCAUGCACCGAAGCUGCGGCAGCGACACUAUGUGUUGUUGGGUAGGGGAGCGUUCUGUAAGCCUGCGAAGGUGACCUGUGAGGGUUGCUGGAGGUAUCAGAAGUGCGAAUGCUGACAUAAGUAACGAUAAAGCGGGUGAAAAGCCCGCUCGCCGGAAGACCAAGGGUUCCUGUCCAACGUUAAUCGGGGCAGGGUGAGUCGACCCCUAAGGCGAGGCCGAAAGGCGUAGUCGAUGGGAAACAGGUUAAUAUUCCUGUACUUGGUGUUACUGCGAAGGGGGGACGGAGAAGGCUAUGUUAGCCGGGCGACGGUUGUCCCGGUUUAAGCAUGUAGGCUG